AACCUACGGGAGGCAGCAGUGGGGGAUACUGCACAAUGGGGGAAACCCUGAUGCAGCGACGCCGCGUGAGUGAAGAAGCAUUUCGGUACGUAAAGCUCUAUCAGCAGGGAAGAAUAAUGACGGUACCUGACUAAGAAGCCCCGGCUAACUACGUGCCAGCAGCCGCGGUAAUACGUAGGGGGCAAGCGUUAUCCGGAUUUACUGGGUGUAAAGGGAGCGUAGACGGCACUGCAAGUCCGGAGUGAAAGCCCACAGCCCAACUGUGGGACUGCUCUGGAAACUGUGGCGCGCGAGUGCGGGAGGGG
rnacentral:rRNA from 1 species